GUGAUUUUCAAAUUGCUGCCAAAAAUCUUUUUGAUCACACCUUAUGUGUGUGUAAAUGUAUAUAUCAAAUAUGUGUUUUUCUAAGUGAAUUGUACAAGUACUUUUAUCAAGGAAAAGAAAUAGCAUUCAGGGGAGAGUGACAAUGAAUUGCACUUUUUUUUUUCAAUGAACUUACUUAAAUUCAGUUGAAGUCUGUACAUUAGUAAACACAUUGUGGAACAUGCGAAUAUUAUUGCUUCUUUGGGUGACACGAUAAUGGUGCAUUCUGUGGAUGCCUGUUAAACACCCUUCAGGGGUCUCGGGUCUGGGCUCAGUGGUAGAAAGCUUGCCAGGAAGGAGCAAAGCCCUGGAUUCCAUUGCCAGCACUACUAAAAACAAAACGGUAAACAUUAUCCUGAUAUUAUUUUCUUUUAUUCCUUUAGAUCCUGUAAAAAUUACCAUGCUGGUUUUGAAGUCUUUGGAAUAAAAUUCAACACAGUGUUGUUCCAGCUUUCCUGGCUUAGUUUGGUUUCAUACAGCACCUCAUUGGACACCUAACAGUAUCCAUGUGGAUCAGAACAAGACCCAUCUCUUCUUUCCUUUGUUUCAUUAAACAGUAAUUGCUUGG
rnacentral:lncRNA from 1 species